rnacentral:rRNA from 1 species
AACGGGUGGAGCCUGCGGUUUAAUUGGAUUCAACGCCGGAAAUCUCACCGGGGGCGACAGCAAUAUGAAGGUCAGGCUGAAGACCUUACCCGAUUAGCUGAGAGGUGGUGCAUGGCCGUCGUCAGUUCGUACUGUGAAGCAUCCUGUUAAGUCAGGCAACGAGCGAGACCCACGUCCACAGUUGCCAGCAUACCCUCCGGGGUGAUGGGUACACUGUGGAGACCGCCGCUGCUAAAGCGGAGGAAGGAGUGGGCAACGGUAGGUCAGUAUGCCCCGAAUCUCCCGGGCUACACGCGGGCUACAAUGGUUGGUACAAUGGGCAUCUACCCCGAAAGGGGAAGGAAAUCUCUUAAAGCCAAUCGUAGUUCGGAUUGAGGGCUGCAACUCGCCCUCAUGAAGCUGGAAUCCGUAGUAAUCGCGUUUCAACAGAACGCGGUGAAUACGUCCCUGCUCCUU